UGGCUCAGGAUGAAUGCUGGCGGCGUGCCUAACACAUGCAAGUCGAACGGUCGCUUCGGCGAUAGUGGCGAACGGGUGAGUAACACGUAGUUUACCUACCCCAGAGAGCGGGACAACUAACCGAAAGGUUAGCUAAUACCGCAUAAGCUCACGAUGAAUAGACAGUUGUGAGAAAAGGGAGCAAUCCGCUUUGGGAUGGGACUGCGGUCCAUCAGCUAGUUGGUGCGGUAAAGGCGCACCAAGGCGACGACGGAUAGGGGGCCUGAGAGGGUGACCCUCCACACUGGAACUGAGACACGGUCCAGACUCCUACGGGAGGCAGCAGUGAGGAAUAUUGCUCAAUGGGCGCAAGCCUGAAGCAGCAACGCCGCGUGGGUGAAGAAGGAUUUCGGUUCGUAAAACCCUUUUCUGUGUGACGAGAACGGACGGUAGCACAGGAAUAAGUGUCGGCUAACUACGUGCCAGCCGCCGCCGUAAC
rnacentral:rRNA from 1 species